CAUUCCUAAUGUCAUAGAGAAAUGCCUUUGCAUAGUUGCCUUCCAACCAUGUCUAACUUUAAUAGAUUUCCUGCAGAGAGAAAAUCCAGUGUAAGUACUGCUGCCUUGUACUAGAAUUUUACAGCCUGCUGGCUCAGGAGAGUACUUCUAACUCUUUUUGAACCCUCCAGCAGCCUUUUUAAUGAUAUAAAGUGUGACCACAUCUUUGAACUUCAGUACAGGGGCACCCAAUUGCCAGGAUGCUGUGUGCUCCCUAUCUCUGGAGUGUUUCUGGUACUGAACUUUGUGGCUAAUGCAAUGAGUAUACAUGCAAUCAGAAAUGCUAUGAGUUGUAUGCUGACUGUUCUGUGCAUUCACAUUAGCUGAUCACUGAUCUUCAGGAGGGUUCCAUACACAAAUGUUCAGUCUGGCACGUGGCAUUGUACCCUUCUCUUGGUAGGUCAAUGGCAGAUGACCCUAUAGUCAGCAAAGCCUCUUCUCACUGCCCUUUCUUCCCACCCAGGCUUUACUGUAACAGAAGAUGAUGGGAUCAAGACCCAGCUGUAUAAGCUAACUGCUGGCGUCAGCUUUUCCUACUUCAACCCUCCCUGGAAAAUCUUUCUGCGCAAAGAGGUAAGGUUUGUUAGCUGAGCCCUGGCUGUAGGGGGAGGGCAAUGAUCCCAUGUUUGGUUAAAAUCACUUUCUGUCACAUGUAACCAGAGUGAUGUAACAGCACAGAGAUAGUUUGGAGAGGAGAUCACAUCACACGUGAGCUGGGAGUUAUGAGCUCAUCUGAUGGUCAAGGAAUUCCAGGUCCUACUCUGCCUUACUCAUGAGUCUCAGUUUUCCUGUCCUUCCCUUCCUCACUAAAGCAUGAAGAUAUUGACAAAGUAAAUCUCUUGUAACCUGGAGCUCUCCUAUAUAAACAGUACAAAUGUAUGUAAAAUCUUGUGUGCUGAGCUGACCCCAGCUCAUCCCAUGAUCUCACCACUUCACUUUUGAUCCUUCACUCCUGCUCACAUUUGGUCAUUUUGCUCACAUUCCCUCUCUCCCUUCCCUGCCCAGACAUGGAGAUUCAAUCCUGGCAGGAGGAAUAUGGAUUACAAUACACCUCUAUUUCUGCUACAGUUGUAAACAUAUGUAACAUCAUUCUUGUUUUUAUCUUCCUCUUGCAGGUGUUUUACCCCAAAGAAAACUUCAGUCACCCUUAUUGUCUGAACUUGCUGUGUGAACAGGUAAUGUAUGACUCAGGGUUGUGUCUGUUUGGAGACUCCAUAAUUGCAUUGCAUGAUUACAUCACACACGUUCACUUUUGCAUCCUUAGAGAUAUUAGUCCUUUCUCUAGGUCUGUCUAGUCAAUGCCCAGCUCUUUUCUCUCUGAGACUCAGCCUUUUUUAACAGCCCCAGCACACCCAGUGGCAGCCUUUUCAAAGAAGCUUCUCUAUUUUCUUCCUCUGCAGAUCAUACGUGACACCUUCUCUGAUUCCUGCCUUCGCAUUUCCAAAGAGGAGAAGCGCAAGAUGAAAGACCUGCUGGGUAAUGAGCAGCCCUGUCCCUUCCAUGCACCCGUCGCAGCAUCCAGCUGCAAAGGAGGAAAAGUUUUCUGUGCCCUUCUGGGCAGGACUUAGGACAGAGGAGAAUUGUCACUGCAGCAAGAGAGAACACUGUGUGUGCUGUGCAGUGCGCUGUAGGGAUGGUUGUCUCUUCCAAAUGCAUAGAAAAUGGCUCUGAAAUCUCUCUAAGCCAGAAGAACUUAAUUAUGAUAUGUAUCUUUUUGGUGGAGAGGAAACUGAGGCCCAGGGAUUGGGUUUUGGGUUGUCUCAAAAUCCAGCUGUGUUUGACAUGAGCUUGAUGGAGGUGGGUGGGAAAAAACUUGGUGGUAGGUUUGUAUGUGCAUGUUACAUUGGUUCUAAGCACUGUGGUGUCCUUUCAGCCCUGUGUGCUCUUUGCUGCCCUAUGGUCACUGGGUGGGGACGGCAGGGACAAGGUCCCUGCGCAGAGGGAGGCAUUACCAUCUCUGCUUUGCUGUAUCCCUCCUAGCGGCGUUGCAGGUUGGCAACGAUGCUCAGUCCAUUCAGGAGGAUGGGAUAAAGAAGAGGAUCGUGGUGGCCGCUCGGGAUAAUUGGGCUAACUAUUUCUCCCGCCUUUUCCCAGUUCAAGUGAGUCUUAAUCAUUUCAGCAGACCCCAGAGUUGCUGUGGCUGCAUGACUCUGGUUCACCUGGGAUGUCUCUUUGUGCCCUGCCUUUCUCUCCUUCAUCUGCCCCACUCCACUCGAUUUCCUGCACUUUCUGUACAUUUCUCCUCUUUCUCCUCGCAUGCACAUUUACAUCCUUUGGUGCCCUAACCAUUUCUCUGUUUCCUAGGCCACCUGCUUAGCUGCAGUCACUGCUGGCCUUGUCCCCCAUUUCUCCCACCUGCCUCUCUGCAUCCUCACACUCCUGCUCUUCUGUCUCCCUUUCCUCACCAUCUUUGUUUUCCAAACACCUUUGAGAAUGUUGUUAGGUCUGGCACCUCUGUCAGCCGUGGACCUCCUUCACUGCACGUGGUGCUCUUUCCCCAUCCUGCCUGGCUGGGAAGGAGCCUUUUAGUGCUCACUGCUGCUCUUCUUUCACAGGGUGAAAAUGGAAGUGAUGUCCAGAUCCUGGGUGUUUCACACCGAGGCCUGAGGCUGCUGAAAGUGGUGAAAGCAGCUGCUUAUGCUCCUGAGCACCUGAAGGCCCUGUGCAGCUACAGGUGAGCAGUAGGAUGAUGUGGGCAGACUGACAGGGUGAGCUGAGUGUUUCUCUGGUUGUUCCAUGUCUAAGGUUGUCCAAGAUCUGUGGUGACCCACUGACCCUCCCUCAAAUGACUUCACUCUUUCCCUUUCCUUUCUACCUUGCACUUUGCCUUUAAUGAGUGCUGGGAACCAAGCUCCCAUCCCAUGAUCUGCAUCCCCUCGCUCCAUCAGAAGCAUUCUGAAUGUGCUGGCUGUGUUCUCAGCUUUGCAGAUGUGCUUUCGGUGGAGCUGAAGGACAGCAACUCCCUGGAGUUCUCUCUGAAGACAGAGCAGCUCUUACUGCACUCUCACAAGGCUCCGUGCAUCAAAGCCAUGGUGGAACUCUUCAUCCAGGAGCUGAGGCAGGUGAGGAAGCAGCUGCAGAGCAGCCGUCAGUGAAGGUGUUUUCCUAUAUAGACCUGCAGGUUCCAUGGGGUGGUGUAGUCUGAGUCUCUCCCAUUCUGGGGACAAGAUUUGACCUCUCCACUGCUUUUUCCACAGGAUACCAACUACGUUGUUGCUCUGCGCAGCUAUGUCACAGAUGACAAGAGCCUCCUCAGCUUCAAGAAGGGUGACCUGAUCCAGCUCCUGCCCAUGCAAGGCUUGGAGCCAGGCUGGCAGUUUGGUUCCACCGGUGGCCGCUCUGGUAUUUUCCCUACCAACCUAGUGCAAUUGGCUGCAGCCCCUGAUUACCUCAGCACCAGCAUGGACAGACAUGGAGGGCUGCAAAAGAGCAUGAAAGUUUCCUUUGAUGGCAGGAACACCAACAGGGAGGUGAGUUGUCCUUGGAAAACUGCUAGAGGAUCUGGCUGUGUUCUGUAGGACCUGCCAGCAUAGGUUCUGGUAGUGUCUGACCACUGUGGCUAAGGAGGAAGAAGAUUGCUUAAUUCUUGGAGACAAAGGUGCUCAAAUACCACUGGGGGUAUUUGGGGAGGGAUGGCAUCACAAACAGAUGAGAACUUUCCAGGUAUAGCAGAAGGAAAUACACACUGAACUCCUCAGCUGACCUUUCAGGGUGAGUUUGGUGCAUGUCCCUGCAGGCCUCUGUUCCCAGCCUGACAUCAGAGCCCUCCAGCAUCACAUCAGUCCCUGCUGGUGAUCAUUACACCAUGAUGGACUUCGCCGCUGCCUAUUUCCGAGAGGCUCAGUACAUGUGAGUAGACUGUGCUCUCCCUCAGCAGGCAUACACUGGAUGUGUGUAGCCUGGCACUCACCAAGACAUUUCUGGGGGUAUUUCUUGGAUUGGCUCAUGUUCUCUUCAUCUGGUUAGGAUGGAAUUGAAGGGGACACCUGCUGAAAAGAAGACUAUAGCUGACAUGGUCCAGUACACCAAGGUGAGCCCAUGCUUUCCCCAUGGCAACAGCCAGAACCCCAGCUCUAGCACUGCCUCUAGUUUUGCUCUGACACGGCAAAGACAGAGGACAGAUUUUUGGCUGCACUAUGCAGAGGAGUAGGUGACCCCUACUUAUCAAUGCUGCCUGCAAGAUACUGAGAGCUAUUGUCAUCUGUGAAGCCUACAGCACAGCUCUGUGCUGGUCUGCUCCCUCAGCUCACCCUUGUGUUCGGGCCCUGCAGGUUCCAAUCAAGGAGUCUUUGCUCCGGUACUCUGAUAGCGAACUGAAUGAGCUUGCAACAAAGAGCUUCAUGAGUAAGUGCCCCCCAAGGACAAAAUGGGCUUCAGUGCGGAUGAAUGGGAUGCUCUUGGUGGCUAUACAUAGACAACAGUGAAUGGAAAUAAGAGGGCACUUCCUAAUCCACUUCUGCUGUUAGUAACUACCACUGUCAUUGCUGAAAGCAUCCAACAAAAUGCUCUUUGCCUUGAGUACAAAAUGUCCAAGAACCCACAAUGUCUGGGCUCACGAACCACUUGUCCAAUGCUGCCUAGUAAUGGCCUGUGGAGAAGAAAGGCCUUUGGGACAUUUUCUAGCCCCAUGGUAGGAUCACCUCUGCUUACACCCAAGUAUUAUCCUUUGCUUUGCAGCUCUGAUGCGGUUCAUGGGAGAUCAGCCAAAACUCAGGAACCAGGAUGAUGCUCAGUGCGUCUAUGAAAUUCUUCAGGUCUGUGACUUUUACCUGGGCAAACUGCUGCAGCACCAGGGGGAAUGAGAUCCUAAGGCCUUUCAGGAAAGGGAGAACAGGGAAAGCCAUAACGCAGAGCCCUGUGUGAGGAAAGGAACUGAAAGAGGCCAAUUAAAAAGCACAUGGAAGAGGGUGUGUAUCUAUUUGCACUUGUAAAUGCUUUUCUUAGGAUUGCAGUCUGGAUGAGAAUACAACCUGUCUUCUUCUUUGGGCCUAUAUAACUCUACAGAGCAGAGGUUGUGAAGCCUGAGCUUAAAGCCAUAUUUGGAGUCUGGGAUUUCCUGGCAAAACUCAAGAGAUGGGAGAGGAAGGGCAUGGAGAUGAGCUGGAACCUCUCUGAUGUUCUCUUCUCCUCCUUGAUGCCGUUUUCUCCUCUUUGAAUGCAGCUGUGCAAGGAGAAGGAGAAUUUGCAUGACGAAGUUUACUGCCAGGUCAUCAAACAGGUCACUCUCAACCCCAACCAGUGAGUAGCAGCAUGGUUGGUUCCCAUUCAUGCAUGGCUGAAGGGGAUCUGUGUGCCCUGCUGUGCACGGGGUGCUGGGAGGGCACCAUUUCAUGGUGUGUUGUCCCAGCUGCUCAGCUGCCUUUACUGUCCCUUUCUUUGUUACUCAAACAGCUGGGUCAAUGCCUUCCUCAGCAUAAGAACACAGAUCAAGGGUCACUACCUCAUGUUCACUGCCACCUCCUGUUGGCGUGCAGAAGGGCAGAGGCUCACUUUCAGCUGGGUGGAGCAGGAAUUGUCUCAUUCCACAGUUCUUUCUGUCCCACAGGGAGAGCGUGCUGCGGGGUUGGCUGCUCCUCAAUCUGCUCACUGGGUUCUUCCUCCCUUCUAACAUCCUGAUGCCCUAUGCCACCAAGUUUCUGCAGCAAGCCAGCAGUGACCCAUCCAGCACCCACCACGGUACGGCUGUGUCUGUGUCCUGUGAAACAAAUGGCUGCCCUGGGUUUACUAAGGCCCAGUUGUCAAGGAAAGAAGGAAGGAUCCAGAUGGGCACACAAUCUCCUCAUUCUUUUCCUAGCAUUGGCGUUGGAUUAAAUACAAUGCAGCCAGGAAGACUCAAAACUAUAGGAGUCAAUGCUUAGCUCUCAGCCCAUGAAGCUUUUUCUCUUUUCCUACAGAAAUAGCCAGGAUUUGUCAGAGCAACCUGCGGAAAAAUUUCAUGUAUGGAGGCCGUCGCCACCUUCCUUUCCCUGUGGAGAUGGAGGCACUGCUGAAGGGACGCAGUGCCCGCCGGCUGGAGGUGCUGAUGUUUGGAGGUGUGGAAUAUGUCACCCGCAUCAGGACAUUCACUGUGGCCAGGGAGCUCUUGCAAGAGAUCUGUGAGCAGAUGGGGGCAGGCGAGCAGGAAGAGAUGCAGGAAUUUGCUCUUUUUGCCAUCAGGAGCACCAGUGAUAAAAAAGGCAAGUAAAGACAGAGUAGCUCUAGCUUCUUCCCUAAAGCAUUUUCUCCAGUAGGGACUGUUUCAAAUAAUUUCCCAAUUCUUGCUGGCUCUGGGGAUCUUCAGCAGUUAACCUCUGUUAGAGAUGGUGCCUUCUCGGGGCUUGAAUCGCUCUUUCCUGAAAGUGGUGCAUGUCUGCAUGGAGGCUGUGUCCCUUUGGGAUGGCUGAUGCUGGGAGUUGUUAAGGGCAGGGUGAAACAGAGGUGUGCAGGAUGGCUCCUUGCAAGACUACGGAGCUCAACCCGCUGUCUCAGCACCAAGAGUGAUGACUCUUUCUCUGCAUAAAUACGUAGAUAAAGUUGUGAGGCCAAUAAGAAUGGAGGAAUACCUUCAUGACUACUUGCUCGAAGACAUGUUGGUCACUGUGAGUUUACGCAGGCUCACCUGGAAGAUACCUCUGCACUUUGAGGACAAAAUCUAUACUGACAUCCAUUAUGGCCAGAUACAAUGGGACUACCUGACAGGGAAGAUACUGCUGAGCUACAGUAAAGAACUGGAGAUGCAACUGGGUGUUUUGGUUAUGCUCCAGCACUGGGCCAAAACAGAGCAGGAGAGCUCUGCUCCCUCCAGGUAUGCUUAUUUCAGGGAGGGUCUCUGUUGGCACCAUGUGGGUUAAGAGUAGAUGAUUCUCUGGAUAAUGAAGGAAUGGAAAGUCCCGGAGAAGAUAAGUCAUUAGUUAACAUCACUCAGUGACUGACUUCUGCCUGUAACCAAGACAGUUUACUUCCCAUUCACAAUCCUGAUGGUGACCAUCUCUGACUCACAGUUCCUUUCAUGACUCCUCCUGAGCUCAGAGCCAUGAGGGUGCCACAUAUAUUUCUUUAGGCCAUGUGGUACCAAGAAGAAAGUGUAUGAGCUUACAGCUGUACUUGUAACUGAGAUGGAGAUAAUGGAGGUAAUACCUCCAUCAAAUCCCCUUACAGCUCCAGCAGCAGGAGUAAUGGUGUAACUGCUGGGUGUGGGGAACUCUGCUCUGUGUAGUGUUUACAGCAGAGGAUCAAGUGACAUGUUUUUCAGAAACACCCUGUGAAAGAAACACUCUGUAACUCUACUUCCAUGCUACAGUUCUUGCAUGAAGAGCUCUUGCUGUCUCCAGGAAGGAGGGACUUCCUAUAGUGUACUAGGCAGCUUUCUUCUCUGUGGAAAUAUGAUGUCUCACCAUCUCUGAUGUAUUCUCCCACAUCAUUCAAUUUCGAUAUGACCUGUUGUGCUCUUCCCUCUUUCUCCACCUUUGCCCCCAGCUCUGUUCUGAAAAUUGUUGGCACAUCCCCUCUUUCUAACAGCUCUUGGUUGAUAUUUUGAUUUUGACCAGGCAGGGAGUCAAUUAGUCUCUACUUUUUGGCACAGGGAAGAGCUGAAGGAAUACAUACCAAAGUCCUUGCAGUCCCAAAUCAGCACUGAGACUCUGCAGAACCAUCUUGACAGGCUGCUGCGAACCAUGCAGCCACUCCGGCCAGUGGAUGCAAAAAUCCAGUUCAUAGGUGAGGAGAUGUGAGAUCUGCCUGGGUACUCCACUCUGAGAGUGAUGGAAGCUGCUCCGUGGGGCUGGCAAAGAUCUCUGGAGUUUGGGAUGGUCCAUGAUAUGUAACUCCCUGACAGCCUUCCUCUGCAGACUGGCACAAGCUUCCAAGCACGACAGUCAUAGUACAAAUCCCACCUCAUGGUAAAAGUCUGCAGAAGACUCUCCUAGUCCUGUAUGAGUUGUGCUUUAAUUGAUAUUCUGGCUGCAUGUCUGUUUGCUGCUCUGAAAAGAAUGGAACGUGCAUUGAGGCUGCUGGCACUUGAAUACCAGGAGCCUAAGGAUGGUGGGAGAAAUUGUGAAUUGCACUUUUUAAUGUAGGAAGACUUGGGAACACCUGAAGCUUUUGACCACCUUAGGCUGGUGCAGGGUGCAGUAGAUUACGGGCUGGGAGCUGCUGCCUGAACACCAGCUUUUGUUUUCUUACAGACCAUGUGAUGAAACAGCUGUUCUUUGGCUACAACAUCUUCUUGGUGGAGAAAGUCAGUAACAGCACAAUCCCUGUGCCCUGUUACUUUGGUGUGAAUAAAGAACAGAUCAUUGUGGUGGACAGCAUCACCCAGGAGCUCUGCCACAUCAUCCCAUUGAAAGAGCUGCAGAGGAUGAGAACCCUGCGCCCCACCUCCGAGCAGGGGCUUCCUGGCAUAGAACUGAACUAUGGCUCUGCUGCCAACCCCAAGACUCUAUGGAUUGAGCUAUCCCAGGCUAAAGAGAUGUAUCACACAACUGUUUUCAUCCUGGAUAAAACAGAUUUUCAGCACUAGAGUUUGAGGAGAAUGCCUCCCCAAAACAUCC